GGCAGGAAUCCAGUGAGUACUUGUUGCGAGCCAUACGGCGGCGGCAGCGUCCCGAAGCUGUCAAAUAUUGCGCACACCCUCCAGUCGGCAGUCAGUGGAGUAACUCAGGCUAAUCCAUCAGACAAACAACUCGGAAGAUUAACCUUUUUUUAUACUAACGAGUUUUUCCCGGCGUGAUCGGAAGCUUCUCCUGAAAUCUUGAUAAGUGUUUCCUUUUUUUCUAUUGUCACAUGGCUUAGAAGAAUUCAAUAACAACAAAAAAUGGCGACAAUCACGUUGCUCUGUGUGGUCUUGCUGCGUCAUAAAAAAUAUUCAUGUAAACACGGGGAAAUAAGCGAGCGGGUUGUAGUUGUUGCACAUGUUGCUGUUGCUGCCCACGUCUGACACGAAGCGUUUUGGCCAGAGCCCUGUGCUGCGGAGCUAAUGGAGUUGUUUACAUGAAGUGCGGGAGGGCGGACCAAAGACGAAGGGAGGCGGAGCCACGACGUGGGCCAGCGCCGCUCACCGAAAGCUCGAGACGCUUCUCGCGCCAGGAAGGGGUGGAGCUCGAGACGAGAAUCAUAACAAGUCUGACGUCACUCAGCCUUGUAGUUGGUAUGAAUAAUACACAUUAGUUUUGUCUGCUGAAGCGGAGACAGGAGGGUGGGGAAACAGAAAUAUUCUUGUCUGUGUUAUUUAUUUAUGUUUUACAUGAAAUAGAUUUAAUGAGGCUUAUGUGCACCAGCAGGACAUGAAACUGCGUUUACACGCCUUUACAUUAGCAAUAAAACAUGGCGCUGGUGGUAUACGGGUUAAGCACCAUAUACGGAGGCUACAGUCUUUGAAGCGGCCGUCCGGGGUUCGAGGCCCGGACCCGGCGGUAUUGGCCUAAUGUCUCCCCCUUUCUCUACCCCUCUUUCCUGACUGCCUACUGUCAAAAAAUAAUGGCAUCUAGUCCCGAAAGAAUAUUUGAAAAAUCUGCUGCUGGGGCAGGACAAGGAAUGGACAAGCUUUAAUUGUUUUUAUAUAGUCUUCCAUAGUGCCAUCUAUUAAACGUCUGUAGUUAAUUACUAGCCCCACCCUCAAAUGAUACCAGGAUGUAAUGUUUAGGUUGACAUUUUAUCAAGUUGCAAUAGUUUAAAAUUGUGGACAUACAGUUUUACAGGGGAUAAGUAACAAUCUUCUAACAAAGAAGUAAAAUAUGACAAAAUCAUUAAAAGCUUACAGUAUGUUAUUAUACAUACUACAUUCUAAGCAUAUCAAAAAGACUUGUUCAAGUGAAAAAUAUUUGUAAUUUAUUUUCAAAAUUAAGGAAUAACUUUAAAAAGUUUUAAAUUUUUGUUAUUUUAUAAUUUUGUUAUAAAAUAACAAUUAUUUUUCUCCUUCAUAGUGCCUUGAUUGAAUGUGUGUCACUCACUCCUGGCCCCACCUUCAUUUAAUACCUGUAUCAUCCAUAGUUUGGGUGAACAUAAGGAAAGGUAAAAUUUUGCAGGAGCUGAAAAAACAUUUUAUGAAAACAAUUGCCACAAUAAAUUAGUUGAUUUUUGAAAUGAAUGCACAGAACAUCAUUACCUUACAGCCUAUUAGGUUAUUUUAAAAAAUCAUUGGGAAGAUCGUGAUUAUUUGUUUUUUCACUUUAUUCGAUUCAACCUUUGAGUUCUUCCAAAGCAACAUAACAUCUGGCAACCCUGUACAACAACUUUCUAGAGAUACCCUUGAAUAAAUGUCCUGCUUUAAAACAGAAAUUAUCCUAGUUAUAAAUCUAGUUUUACAGAAGAUGCAGAAAUUUAUUGUUUUUAUAUUUCAUUACAAAAUCCUGACAAAUAACUUGCAGUUACUUUUAAUCUGAGAAAGUUCACACACGUGGCUGAAUGUUGUAUUAAUGAACCCCUGCCCCCUUUGGGGUGCCAUUGAUAUAAAGAGAGACAUUUUAAUGAUAUUUAAAAAAAAGAAAGAACUGAAUGUAGAAAUUGUUGUGAUGUAAAUGGAUGUAUAUAAAUAUGUACACCUGGAAUUUGUUACAGACACUACCACUUGGAUGUGGAGCAAAACCCAUCAGUACAUUGAUUAUUGGUUUAAUUAUGAUCUUUUUUACAUCUUGUUAAAUUUGCUGUAUGUUUCUGCUUUAACUUGAUGUACUUCGGUUGUUUCUGUUCCAGAAUAAAAUAAAUAAACAAAUAUUAUUGUUGUGCAAUGUGCCAACCUGCAGCCCGGACAUAACGUGAGGAUGACAAAAGGAGUGAAGCCACCAAUGCUCCCAGACUUGACAGGCUGCCCUGGUUCAGUUAUCACAGUGCUGAUGCUGUCUCCAUCGAAGGUACAGUACUGUGAUAACUGAAGGAUGGCUGCCAACUUGUCACUGGUGCCAGGAUCAGCAGGUGGAGAGCUGUAAAUAUAUAAAGAUUUGUGAAUGAAAUUAAAUUUUUCUAACAGGAUCAGGGCAGUCUCUGUGUUUUUAUUGGGUGCCCUACCUUGAGAAGUUUUUUUUCUGCCCACAAAUUACAAUAGAUAUAUAGCUAUCUACACAUCAAGUUUAAGUUUUUUUUUUUUGUAAUUAUCCACUUGAAAAUAAGUUCUCCAAAACAAUCGUUUUGUGGUUUUUUUCUUAAAAGUUUCAAAUAAAAACAGCAUAAUGUCUACAUAUGUAUGUAUAAACUUAUUACAGUCAUUCAGCUAGACCAAAAGAAGGCAUGUGCUUACAGCUUCUUGUUGUAUCGCCUGAAGUGCUUGAGGUCAAGGGUUAGGUUGGAGGUGGGGCUAUAUUAUUUUCAAAAAGAUGCAUACUCGUUGUCAACAUAAAAAAGGACCAGUUUACAGGUCUAUUUUAAGGUUGUUGUUUUUCAUAUGAAAAAAAGAUCCACAGUUAUACAAUAUGCUUAGAUGAAUAUUAAAACAUAGAAUUAAGUAAUAAUUGUCUUCUCAAUGAUUCUCUUUGUGGAGCAAAUUUGUGUUUUCCUAGGAACAAACAAACAAAUAUCAUAAACAUCUCAUCAAUAUUUGAUUUAUCAAAUGUCAAAAAAGAAAAUACCUUUCAUGCUUUAACAUAAAGUAUGAUUUCAUCCAGCAGCUAUUUUGCUAUUGUUAUUUAUUUAUUUGUAUUUGUGGCUUGCUUACUUGUGUCACCUGAUGUUCAGGUGACACAAGUAAGCAAUAAAUUUUCUUACUUGUAAAUUUGUAUAAAUUAUAUAUAAAUAUACAAAACAGACCAGAAAAGCCUGUUUUUCUGACGACUCUGCCCCAAAAAAGCUCUCGUUGUUUUGCAUAGCUGUCAACAGGGGGAGCUAUAGAUUCGUAUACUUUGUGUUGAAUUCUGUUACACUGAUUUGUCUUUAAAUGUUUAUGAAAUUUUAGUGACCAAAUAUUUGUAUAUGGGUCAUUUAUAUAAUGAAAAAUCAUUGUUAUUAUCAUUUUUUCUCUUAAGGUAUAUGUAUAGUUUGCAGCUCCACUCAGCACUGCCACACAAGUAAUUUUCUACUAAUCACCGUGUCAGAAAAACCAAAUCACAGUAUAUUUUUCUCACAUUUUAAAGGAUGGAAAAUAUUUUUUUAAACUCAUCUGAGUCAUGUUUUUCAACUGAAGGUUACUCUGCACCUGUCCUUAGCUGUAUGUUUCACUUAAAGGGUACACGGUGCUUAUAGGCUGUGGAAAUCCCCUCAGGAGUCAUGAUAAAUGUUUUGUUUUUGUCUCACACUAACUCCCGUCAGCUAAUCGUGCUCUGAGCCACAUGUUUUUCUCACUCAGACUCAUGUGAUAACUUGAUACUUUGCGGUGGAGAACAGUUUUUGACAGCUAAACCUAAAAGUCAAGUGGAUUUUAUACUUGUGCGGAGAGUUAUUAUCUCCAAAACGAGAUUCACCACACAUGCCUUUCAUGAUGGUAUGCUACAUUACUAUUAGCUUCUUAAAGGUCAACUUGCCAUCAGUGUCCAGGAUCAUUUUUGGGGGGAUUUUUCUUCUUUACACUUCCCUUCAUAAAAGGCAACGAGUGACUGCUGAGUGGAUGUGGGCAGUCCCUCUCUGACAAAAAGCAGCCCCCUGUUAUCUUAUGAGGAACUUUCAGGACCUUGUUCUUUCGAUCCAGGAAGAAAAGUAGAUUAUUCAUUUACCACAUGUGCAUUCCCUACAUGUUGCUGGAAGUGGACGCCAAAUGACUCAUAUGAAGUUAUCUGCAGAAGUGAUGUCAUCUGGUGGGUUGUUUCACUUUGACUAAAAGGGGGAGGGGAGAGACAGACAGACAGAAAGCAAAAAGAAAACAAACCAAAAAUUGGACCUAAUUUAUUCUGCCUUUCAUCAACCUUUCAUCAACCAAACCAUUAUAUAGAUGACUAUGCAAAACUGUUCAUUCCCCUCAAAUGCUUCCCCAUUUUGUCCUGUUACAACCAAAAAGUUGUAACAGGACAACUUUAUGGUUGUAAAAGUUUAACAUAUUUUAUGUCAUAAACCAGCAUAAAGUGAUGCCUAAGUUUUCUUCCAGGAUUCCGCUGGUUUCUCAUCCAUCUUCCCAUCAACUAUGCAGCUUCCCUGUCCCUGAUGAAGAGAUACACCCUCACAUCAUGGAAGGAAGUCAUUGGGCUGCAGCGCAACCAGCUGACCAUCAGAAAGAGAAGCCAUACAGACUCCCAAGUAAAUCAGUCUGUCACAAGGCUAAGACACAACCAUCAAACUCCAACUCAUUAAGAAUCACUGAUUAGUCUGAUAUAGAGGAUUUUUUUACUAGAAAAACUGUUGAAAACACAUGUAGGAACAGAUGAGUCAAACUGCUCACAGAGAAGCAGCCAAUAAUUUUUCUAAUUUUCUAUUUGUUUGAAUCCCUUAUCUACAAAAUAUUAGAUUUUUGGCGAUAAUGUCACCAACAUUUGACUUGCUGACUUUUGAGUUUUUAAAAGAGAACCAAUCUUCAUUUUUACACCUCUGUGCCUCAUUAAUUAUACCAUUUUUUAUUUCCUGUAACCUAAAAGUGACCUUUUAAAAUAUGCACUCAAUGAAUCAAACUGUGCCUCUGGCACAGAUCAAGGCAGAAUGUUUUUGUAAUUAAUGUAAUUUAAGCAAAUAUAAAGAGGAAAACAAUUCUAUUUUAUCCAAAUCGGGAUAUUGGUUCUGUCAUGUGACUUGCCAAAGUUAUAUGAAUUUAUAAUAUACAUAUUCAUAGCUUUGCAAAUGCAAAAAAACAAAGGUAAAAGGGACAUUAUCUCGUGACAUCUGGAAACACAUUAAAAAAAGUUUUAUAUAUUAAACCCUAAAAGGUCUUUCCUAAUGACUGCCACUCAUGUAAUGGCAAAGAUGAAUAACAACACCCAAUUACUUCAGUUAUAUCUGUGCAAAAGUUCACUGCAGUAAAUUUUCUUUAUUUGUUACAUUUUUGGUUAGUUUCAUUGCUUGGAUCUAUGUGGUCAUCCAUUACAUCACCUGGAAAAUCAGUUUUCUUUUUAAUCUUUAUACAUAUUGUUGUUUAUUAAAUAUUAAUUUAUAUGAAAUUCAAAUGCAAAACUAUGAAUACAUACUAGAGUCUAAAGUCAAGGUUUUUCUUCUGUAUCUUACAUUGCAAGCUAAAUUUCCUGAGAGUAUUCAAGAAUAUUUUGUUGCUCUUCGUUCUUCAGGCAGUUAUAGAGAUGACUACCUGAGGAAAAAAGGUAUGUUCCCUUUGCUAUUGAUGAUAUGGGACUGAAGGUCAGGUGAAGGAGCAAGGCAAAUUACAGUAAAUCAGUAAAUACACAAGUGGAGAUUAAAACUUUUGGACCUUUUUUGUAAUUCCGUCAGCCCAAAGAAGAUUUGAUGGUGAAAUAAUUUUUCAGGGUGAUGAUGAUGCAUUUUUGUCACCAGGCAAAGUUAAAUGACAUGGCCAGCACACAGUACAGAUUUAAAUCACGUUGAAAACCCAGGCUGGAAUUAGAGUAUGGGUCAAAGUAGCAAAAAUUAACUUGAAAUAAAUGGAAGAUGUAAAAUACUGAACAUGGUAAAACUGAGUGCCGUAAAAAGCAACAUGUGAUUAUUUCGUCUCUGUGAAAAUUAGUAUCCGUCAAUUUGUAGGUCAUUAAAAUGAUAACAUUGUAAAUAUUAAUGUUAUAAAUACUAAAGUUUACGUUGCCUGUUUUCAUUAUCUGCCUUAAUUUUAGCGACUCCAAUUUUACUGCUUCAGUUCAUCUUGUUCACAGUAUCAUGUUUUAUUACUUCCUAUAGACCAGAAUACAGCAGUAGGACCGGCGCGACAGCGGAGUUGUAGUCCGAGACCCACAAUUUCCCAUGAUUCAUUCUGGGUCGAAUAGGAUUGGUCGAGCUCGGGCAGCAAUGGUGGACGAUAGUGGCAAAAAUUGUGUAUAAAAAUAUAAAUAAUACGCGUUGUGUGACACCAAAUAAACGUUUAAGAUGCUUUCAAGUGAGAAUGUAGGUCUGUUUAACUCAGAUACCUACUCGGUUUAUUAAGACUCCACUUAAUAAAAAAAAAAAGAGAUUCACAAAAAUUAAACUAUGAAUGCGAUGAAUCUUAAAACUCAAGUGGUAAAAAUGGAGGCACUAAAAUCAAGGCAAUGAAUGAAAACAGGCAACGUUAAAUUUGAUUACCUUGAUAUUUACCAUGUUAUCAUUUUAAUGACCUCCUAAUUCACGGAUUUUAAUUUUCACAGAGGCGAAAUUAAUCACAUGUUGGUUUUUACAGCACUCAAUUUAACCAUGUUCAGUAUUUCACACCUUUAAUUAAUGUCAAGUACAUUUUUGUUACUUUGACCCCUCAUAUUAGAGAUGGUAUGGUUAUCGGUAUCAAUGAAUCCCAAGCUUCUAAAAACGUAAAAUAAAUAAAUAAAUACAAAUAUCCCUUUAUAUCACUCAUACGUUUAGUCAUUUAAUAAGAUGCCAGAGAAAGGGCCGGGGUUAACAGAGUUUAUAUCAGUUUUAUCAAACACAAAGUAGCUCUUCCCCUCCCCCACACGUUUCUGCACACAGCCAGCCACCUGGAUGUAGGAAGAGUGAUGAAGUUUUUCCUGCUUAGAAGAGAUGCUAAUGCAGUCCAAAUAUUUCUUAUCGCAAAAAUCAGGAGCUCCGCCCAUGACAUGACCCCUGUUAAGGUAAGGCUGUUUUAAAGCUACAGUUGGGAAGCUACAGGUAUCACGUCUUUCAGAGAGCCCAACUAAUUAACUUUGCUAAAAUUAGCUUGUUUGAAUUUAUAAAGAGCAUGAUGUUGAAAAUGUGUUAUAUUCUUUGAAAGAAGUAAAAGGUAUGUUUAGUAAAGCCAUAAUGUUCAGCUUUUGUGAAGUGCCUUGAGACAACAAGUGUUGAGAAUUGGCGCUAUAUAAAUAAACUGAAUUGAAAACUGAA